rnacentral:rRNA from 1 species
AACCUCAAACCUAAAGAAUCUGACAGUCCUUAACCAAAUAAGAGGAACUUGCUUGAAAAACGAUGAUCCCCGAAAAAUCUCUCUUAUCUUACCACCUGUAUACCGCCAUCUUAAAAAAGUCUCAUGACUUUUUUCAAACAAACAAUCCUAAUAUGUUAGGUCUAGGUGCAGCUAAUUAAUAAGUCAAAGUGAGUUACAACCCCCUUAGGGUGAAAGAAAGCUUCAACCCUUUUUAUAUAACAGGAUUUUACAGUAAUUAGAGUUUAGUAAGCUCAAGUGACCUCCAUUUUUAGUGAUGUACAUAUCGCCCGUCGCUCGCGGGAA